rnacentral:rRNA from 1 species
GACGAACGCUGGCGGCGUGCUUAACACAUGCAAGUCGAACGGAAAGGCCCUGCUUUUGUGGGGUGCUCGAGUGGCGAACGGGUGAGUAACACGUGAGUAACCUGCCCUUGACUUUGGGAUAACUUCAGGAAACUGGGUCUAAUACCGGAUAGGAGCUCCUGCUGCAUGGUGGGGGUUGGAAAGUUUCGGCGGUUGGGGAUGGACUCGCAGCUUAUCAGCUUGUUGGUGGGGUAGUGGCUUACCAAGGCUUUGACGGGUAGCCGGCCUGAGAGGGUGACCGGCCAAAUUGGGACUGAGAUACGGCCCAGACUCCUACGGGAGGCAGCAGUGGGGAAUAUUGCACAAUGGGCGGACGCCUGAUGCAGCAACGCCGCGUGCGGGAUGACGGCCUUCGGGUUGUAAACCGCUUUCGCCUGUGACGAAGCGUGAGUGACGGUAAUGGGUAAAGAAGCACCGGCUAACUACGUG